rnacentral:tRNA from 1 species
GUCUUUCUAGUAUCAGAUAAGUAUAAGUGACUUCCAAUCACCCGGUCUUGGUUAGAGUCCAAGGAAAGAUA